rnacentral:rRNA from 1 species
GAUGAACGCUGGCGGCGUGCCUAAUACAUGCAAGUCGAGCGAACGGACGAGAAGCUUGCUUCUCUGAUGUUAGCGGCGGACGGGUGAGUAACACGUGGAUAACCUACCUAUAAGACUGGGAUAACUUCGGGAAACCGGAGCUAAUACCGGAUAGUAUUUUGAACCGCAUGGUUCAAAAGUGAAAGACGGUCUUGCUGUCACUUAUAGAUGGAUCCGCGCUGCAUUAGCUAGUUGGUAAGGUAACGGCUUACCAAGGCAACGAUGCAUAGCCGACCUGAGAGGGGGAUCGGCCACACGGGAGCUGAGACACGGUCCAGACUCCUACGGGAGGCAGCAGUAGGGAAUCUUCCGCAAUGGGCGAAAGCCUGACGGAGCAACGCCGCGUGAGUGAUGAAGGCCUUCGGAUCGUAAAACGCUGUUAUUAGGGAAGAACAUAUGUGUAAGUAACUGUGCACAUCUUGACGGUACCUAAGCAGAAAGCCACGGCUAACUACGU